GACGAACGCUGGCGGCGUGCCUAAUACAUGCAAGUCGAGCGCUAAAGGAUGAUAAUCGUACCCACUGGGUGAGCAGCGAACGGGUGAGUAACGCGUAGGGCAUCUGCCUUUGAGCGGGGGACAACAUCGGGAAGCGACUGAUACUACCGCAUAAAAACUUUAAACACAAGUAUCAAGGUUGAAAGAUGCAAUUGGCUCACUCAAGUACGAUCCGACGUUGUAUUAGCUAGUUGGUGGGGUAAAGGCCCACCAAGGCGAGGAUCCGUAGCCGCCUUGAGAGGGGGUUGGGCAACUCUGGAAUUGAGAAACGCCCCAGCCCCCUACGGGGGGCACCGGUGGGGAUCUUUGGACAAGGGAGGAAAUCCGGACGAGGCACGACCGGGUAGGUGAGGAAGGUCUCCGGUUGGUAAAGCCUUUUUGUAGGGAAAGACGGUGGUGAGGUUGGAACGCCCAUCUAGUGACGGUACCUACAGAGUAAGCGCCGGCUAACUACGUG
rnacentral:rRNA from 1 species